AAUAAAAGACGAGGACGUAGAAGAUCUCAAUGAAAAUGUUCAUUCAGCAUAACAGUCUCAAAGUACAUGGCAGUUUCCUGGUUUCAUUGGAGUCAGAAUGAACCCUGAACACUCUUAAACUCAAAACCUUUUAUACUGUUUUAGAUGUUGCCUUUAGACGUGCCUUUAGAUGUUAAUGAAGUUGCUCCUUGGCUGUUGACAUAUCUGUUCUCUAUAUCUCUCUGUUAAUGCAGUUUCCACACCAUUGAUGAAAUGGUUCUCUGUACACCACACCCAUCCCUAUUCUACAGUUGUUACCAUUUGCUCAAGAUGUAGUCACCUUAAAUUUUGCAGAGGCUGCAAACUAUUGACAAUUCAGCCCUUGAAUGAGCAUCAACACUCCAUUUAGAGUGGAAGUUGGGUCGAGGCAGACUUCAGUUCUUCCAAAUGUAUAUUUGUGUUAUCUAUUACUUAAUAUACAGAUCAAGGCAAACUAUAUCUCACUAUCUAAUGGUCUGACCCCAAUACAUCUUAUUUUAACGUCAUUCAGGAGGGAUCAAGCAUUAAUUAAAGCAUUAAAAGGGGGGUUUAAAACUCCCCCAAUCCCCUUCUAAUUCACACCCUGUGUGCUGGUUAUAAUUUCCUUUCCUCGCUUUAUUACAUCUUCUUCUCCUCAAGCCAGGAAUUAAAUUCUCUUUGCCAGACAGGCUUAAAUUACCCAAAAAUCCUGUUUUUCAGUGAACCAAAAAGAAGCGACGCAGCUGAUGUCAAUCUUGAUAGAGAAGCGCUGUGAAGUCCCAGGUGCCAUCUAUAACCUAUUACUGUUAAACUGCUCUCAUUAUUCUGCUUUUGAAUAUCGCCUUCCUGUCACAUUGAACCGUGAUUUACUCUCCCUCAUUUCUGUGUCAGAAAUAGAAACGGAGGGUUCUGGGUGAAAAUGUUGGUUUCGUGACUUCAGUCCCCUGUUGAUCUCAAAUCCAUCUUUCUGAAUUGUCUGGCUGCCCAUGUACUGUAUAGCGGCCUUAUGUCAUGUGAUUGGGUUUAUAUAAGACAAAUAGUCACCAUUUAACACAGGAAUAAUGUUGAAUUGUUCAAUGCAGUGACCUCCUCCACCCUAUUUUCAGCUUCUCAAAGUGCUCUGAAGAGGUAAUUAUUCACCCACUUGCGUUUGACAGCUAGUUUUGCAUAACGAUGUUGGUUUCUGUGCUCAUUAUUUUAUGCAGCCACUGUUUAACAUGUAUGUCUUAGGGUCACUCCUGUUAUACAGGGUUACUGUGACUCUUAGGUCUAAAUAUACUUCUUAUGCAGGUCUUUUUUUCUGUGUACAACAGUGAUGGCGUGAGGUGAUUGUUGAGACUGAAUGCGUCUACUGGAUGGUACUGUGCAUGUGUGGAACUCGUUUAUCCGCUGCUACGGAGCCUACUUGAAGAACACGUAAUGAAUAGAGGCUACGUCAGCGAUCUGUGGGAAGUCAUCUUUCCAAACCAACACCUUUUCCCACACCAAUUCAGCGAACGGGACCGGGCUGUUAUGCAGCACAGUCUUCAGAGAUGCUCUCCGUGAUUGUUGGAAAUAAAACCAGCGAGUAACGGAUAUUCAGCCGCAGUUCUCGUGGAAUAAUUCGUAAACGA